AAAAUCAGCCUAUUGAUAUCACAGCUGAAAAUAUAAACUCGACAACCAAAGCCCAUUGCACAACGUGGACUGCGUAAGAGUUAAAAAUAGAUUCGACGUGCCUCCUACCUGCAUAAUAAAUAUUCCAUCAAAAUCCUGAGCAGUAUUGACAAACCACACAAGCACAGGGUCUGACUGCAUGAUCAGCUGUCUGUGUCUACGCUACACCCUGUUAACCACAAGCAGUGUUAGAGCUAAAUAUAUCUGCAAUGCAGAAAUGGUAGGUGCUAUGUGGUAUACAAUUCUGAUUAAUUAUAAAAUAUUUUUCUAUCCUAGAUAUAAUAAAUAAAAGAAAAUUUAGUGCUGAUCUUUUUUAGGCACCGAAUCUGUCUGACUUACAGAACAUAAAAGCUAUCCUAAGUAUACUGACCUAGAUAGCACUAAGAAGACUUAAGCAGCAAACAAGCAUACUCACUGUCAAAGCAAGGAAAAACGAAACAAUGAUUCUCUAAUCAAACUGAAAGCAACAGCUCACUACCACAGUAUGAAUUCCAAAAUGCUACGUACUGUAUAUGCACAUCUCAUGUUAGUGGGAGAUGCAAAGCUCCUUUGUUUUUUCUCAGAGGCUUUUCUUAGCUACGGUUGCACAAUGACAUUCUGACAUCAUGGAGGUCAAUGCAGCUACUAAAGUGCUGUCGUCUUUUUGAAGAAAAAAAUCAUUUUGGAAUAUCAAACCACAGCUGCAAAAAUAAUAAAAAUGAAUGUCACAUCACCUGCUUAACAUCUUUCUUUUACCUUCUGGGAUUAAUAGUAUGUACAUUGUUCAGCUGCAUACGUUAAAUUGGUAUCACCCUCUGCAGCGAUUGCAGGACUGUAACUGCGGGAAUUAAAUUUUUAUAAAUAAGUAGAUAGAAAUGUUAAAAAAAAAUGCUUCAUUCUCCAGAAAACUUAAAACUACAAUAAAAUAUUUGACAUGUAUAAUGAAAAAUAUACAAAGAAAAAAGCAUUAAAAACUGCUUAUCUGAAUUUUUUAAAAUGCCUAAUAGGCAAAACUGUUUUUAUUUUCACUGUCAGUAUGUCUCCAAAGGGAGAAUGAGAACACCGUAGCACAACUUACUACGAGCUGAAUUACAUUCCCAAAAGGCUAAACUAUCAGGUGAAGUAAAAUAAACCCUAAGGUCUAUCUGUUUAUAGAGAAUCCUUCCCACCCAUACACUUACAAUGAUUUCUUAUACCUUCCUUUUUUCUUUCUACCCCAAAUACCCCAAACAGAUAUCCAACACGUAGCCAGAAUGGUAAACAUUAAUGUGCCAGCUCUGAAACUAUUUCACUGAAAGAUUUCUUUAAGCAAAUAUUGUUUGCUUUAUGCAUAAGUGAAUAUAAAUAUUUUCUGACCAGCUACUGAAAUAGAUAUAGAUACUUGUGAGGCACGAUUUUUAUGGAGAAGCACUAUCUUUCAUUAGACCUGCCAAUACAGCUGGAAAGAAAGCAGCCAAAUUUUCAGAAACACAUUCUUUCUCGGGAAUCUAUGUAUCUCACUAAUUUUUUUUCCUAAAACAAUGCCUGUUUUUUAAAAGGGAAAACCAGUGAUAAUAAAUAUUGUGUUAAAUCAGAAAGUUCUGCACAGCAAUGACUUAAGAUUGCUACAUGUACAUAUUAUAUUUGAAUUACGUUCUUCUUAUACCCAAUAAACAAUCAGAUUUUUUUUUCCUUCUUUCUUUUUAAAUGACUAAGUAUAUAUAUAUUUAAUUUGGAGAUUUUUCUCUGUAAAAUUGUUUGGCAUUCUGUUCUCUUUGGUUUUAAAGGCUGGGAAUGAGCUGAUCCUAACAGUCAGUGCUUUAAAAUAUUCAGAAUCCCCUUCCAUAAAUAGCACAUCUGUCACACAGAAAUGGAACGCAGCCAGCGGAAAGGGAGACUAGACCAACACAAACAACUGCUAUUCCAAUUUAUGAUUACAAAAUAAGUUAGGACUUUAUCAAUCAUUUAUUUUAAUUUUUUGUUUGUUUUGAGCUUUUUACAGUUUAAAGCUGUCUAACUAUUUAGAUGCCACUAUAUAUCAACUUUAAAUUAAAAAUGUUAACUAUGAAUUCAUUUGAAGGUUUUUUAAUGUUCAUCUCUUAGCAAAACGUAUAUGAUAGGCCCACUCACGCCCAUUUUAAAAGCAUGGUAAAGUUCAUAUAAAGAGGGGAAGAUCUGGGCCUCAUGUAGCUGUCUACUGAACGGUUUACAAGAAAAUGUGACAGUACAAUUUUGCGAACCAAAUGCUAUGUUUGCUUUAGGGCAAUGAUUUUCUGCAAAAGGCAGAUUUCAGCAGGGUCUCACAACAAAUCUCUCUGGUCCUUCAUUCUUGGGGCCAGCAUUCUCAUUUUCACAGAGAAGUACUGUUCUGCCAGAGAGACAGCAAGGUGUUUUGGAUUCAGGGAGUAGUAAAAACCUCCCAGGAUCAAACAUGGCGGAGUAAUAAACAUCUCACACUGAACAGGGAAGUGAGCUUCUUCAAAACCCGUAUGCAUGCCUCUUGUUUUAAUCAGCCUUUUCCUGUGCUUAGUAAUAAUUUUCUAGGCUUAGAUUUGCGGUAGUUUUUCUUCAGACUCAACAUCGUUUCAGUCAAGAGAUCACAUUCUAGGCCUUUGUACAGCUUCGUAAAUAAACUGAGAACAUUUGCAUUUGCAGGUUGCACAAAGUAGGCCCAAAUUUUCCAGGUGGAGAUAGAUUCACACUGGAUGUCAUGUCUGGGUCAGAAACUGGGGUUUAAGCUCUAACCUGAUUUGCACCGAAACUGUUACAGUCCCAAGCCUAGGCAGUGGCUCUCCUGAUACUUGGUUUCAAAAUUCACACCUCAGCUGGGUCAGGAGUAUGUCAGCCCAUGCCAUGAGCUUGUGUCGGUUCUUUAUUCAAUCAGCUUAAAGGCAGGCUAUUUCAAGUAUCCUCACUGGUUCUCACAAGCCAUUUGUGUCGUGAAUCUUCUCCAGUUUGAAGCUUCCUGCUUGCAAACAUGCUUCAUGUCCCUCUGUUUAUCACAACUCUAGGGUAACACCUAAUCUCCCCUCACAUGUGAUCACUUAUUGAAGUUGGGGAGGAAAGAGGAGUCCUAGUAUCAUUGUGUUGCAGUCUCCACCCUGUGGUAUAUCGUUUGGCAGAGGAAAAGUCCUACUCCUCCAGAUGGGUCAUUUGGGGAAUCGAAGCACAAGGAUAUAGAGGGAAGAAAGACUCACACGAAGUCCCCAAAACUGUACUUUUUUUUGUCUGAAAGUACUACUACACCUUGUCAUCCAAGGGGGAAGUAUAAGAGGGCAAUCUGGUGGACUGGGAACUCUGCCAAGGACCAAACUUGUAGCAGUAAAUAUCUGGAAGACUAGCAGACUUUGAGAAAAAAGUGACAGACACUUGGUUUUAUGUGGAUCAGCUCACUCCUGUCUUUAUUCAACAUGGGCCCAAACAGGACCAAGAGAAUAAACUGUCCUGCUAGCUAUAGAGGGCACCCUGGAUGUGGGAAUUAUGCUUCACAAUAGAUAAAUGGAUGAACAGACAUUCAUGCAUGUGGGUUCAUUUCCACCUCAGCAUUUGUAUUUUUUUAACUGUUUAUCAGGUAAAUGAGCAAGAUAUAGAAAACCAAGCAUAGAAUCAGUCAGUCUCAAGAAACUGUAGUCAACUGCCCUGUGAUCCCAUCCCUGCAAAGCUAUGACAAGGGGACAUGAAGCACAGCUGGGAAUCCAGGGUGGGGGUUUCUGAAAGCACAUACCAGAGCUGGCUAUGGCCUUUUAACAAAUCUGCACUUGCAAUGACUGUUUCAGCCUCUGAAUUUAGCUGCAUCAAUUAUAUUUGCCUCCUCAUUCUGCUAGUGCCCCUGCAAAAAACACACUGUUGAUGAAUACCGAGUUUAAAACUAGAGUUAUUUUGAAAAAGUAAAAUUCUCCCUUGAUCCUGAAUAACUUCUUCAACCUAACCCUCACAUUCAGAAAAGCAUCCCCAUAUGCCUGCCCAAACUUUCAACUCUCAGGUCAAACUCCUUCUCCUCCAGAUGCCUACCACCACAUGAUUUAGAAGCUACUUCCUUCAGUAGAGAAACCCUGGCUAGCUGCUGUCGGGCUGUUAGAAACAAUAGGGCAAAGGAAGAGGACUGAUCAUAGAACUUCAUCAGUUUGCCUUUCUAGGGCCAAAGUAUAUCACUUUUAUAUCCAUUCCAGCUGACAUGCCCUAGACUUUCGUUUGUGUUCACAUCUAGCCAAACUUGCCCGAAGGAUGCGGACUGUAUCAUUUGAGUGCUGACAGUUUUCCCAGACUUUCCCAUAACACCUUAUGUUUGUCUGUAUGGCUAGACAAGUUCUUCCAUUAUUUCCUGUGAAAUAAGUAUAGAACUGCUGUGUUAAUAAUGAGAAAAUAAUCACAGAUAUAUUCCCAGAAGUUCCAGUGACUGUGAUUGCUACCUAAUUUAAAUAUUAAAAAAAUAUAUAAUAGGGAGACAGAGAAAGAGCUGUUGUAGUGAAGGAUGGUUGGUGAGAAAAUAGUUGCUCUCAGUUAUUCCUGUACAUGCUUUACAGAUGUCCAUUCCUAAGCGCGAUGUUUACAUAAACAGGCCAUGAAAAUAAUACCCAAGUGGUCUGGGCAGGAGUGAGUUCAAACUCAUGCUAUUCCUGUUUAGGUGGGGAUGUUUUUCAGCACUGCUAAGUUAAAAGCAGAGGAGCAUUUGAAGGCAAUUGCUCUUUAAAAAAGAUAAAUAUUGAGAUUCUAAAAACCCAGCAAGUAUCUGAGUAUUAUGUAUUGUAUUGUGAUACACUGCAUAGUAUCGAUGUAUUAUGAAAUGUAUAUAUAUUAUGAAAACUGUGGGCUUGCCUAAACUGAACAAUCACAGACAAGUCAUAUAUUAAGGUAUAGUAAGGUAAAGAGCUGCUACAUAUGCUUUUUGUGAAACAUUUCUAACAGCCGCUUAGUACUCUAUAAACUAUAAAAUCAUUUUUAAUGAUUAGAACUCCUGGGAUUCAUUGUAAACAAAUGGCAAAGGGAAUUUAUGUAAAAAAUAUAAUUCCAUCUACAGGAUCUGAAGGAAGCUAUAUCUUUAUAGAUAUUUGCAUGCACCUUUACAGGCUAUAGUUCUGUAUUUUCUGUGUAACAUGAUGCUCAAAACAGUUAGCAAUAACGACAAGUGGCUUUGACUUGUUUUUUCUUUGAACAGUGCCUUAAUGACCUCUGUUGCAUGAGCACUGUAUCUCCUCUAAUUAUACCUCCUAAGACCCUAUUUGCUUUGUAAGCUGCUGCCAGAGGUAUACCAAAUGUUUCAGAUUUCUAUCUCCUAUCACUCCUGGCUAAUUUACCGGGUUAGUGAAUUUAGGUGUUGUAUUUUUACUCUGUUAUUAUCAAUUUUAUCAAUCUUAUUUUUCUCUGUAUUUAGUGACACAAAUAGCCUGACACGCACACCUACACUUCUGUACUUCUUUCACAUUGAUAAGCAUUUCCACUUACACAUUAUGCAUUUCCUCUCCUCUGGGUUUAAGAGCCAGACAUUACUUUUACAGAGUGACAGAUUCAAAGAUCCAAUAUGGAAAGCGGUUCCUUUUUCGCUUAGUCAUACAAAAUCCCAGAUAGAGAUACAGACAUUUUAGUCAAGCCAUUCUUAUGAACACUAGCUGGUAGGCAAGAAGGGCAAUAAGAAUUAGGUUGAAAAAAAGGAAAUUUCUCAGAGCAGUCAAGGGACUCAACAUUUUGGCUUUAGUUACUAACAAAACUAGGAAAAAUAUGUUUGGAUGCAUACAUAAAAUCUGUUCUUUGCAGAAAAAAAACCCAAAGGUCAUUUUACCUUGCCCUAGAGGUAAAGCAGCAUAAAAAUUCCUUUUAUAAACUCCUGAUUAAAGUGAUUUCUGAAACAGAUGACUUUAGGCAGGAUCAGUUUUGGGGGCAUAGUCUCUGCCCCAUUACAUUGAUUUUUUUUUUCAUGAAGUUUGAGCAGGAACUAUUCAGCUGUUUUGGAAAACAGACAGUAUGAGAAUAACAAGCAUUCCUCAUUAUUAAAAACAUACGGAAAUUAUUUUUGAACAACAUGAGUGCCAGAGCAAGCAGGGGUAGGAAGCUAAAGUAUGCGAGCAGAAAAGAAAAUGUUUUGGAAGCACCAAGAAAACUGUUUAGCAUUUGAUAGUUAUAAAAUCAAAUGUCACAUAAUAGGUCAGAGAAAUCACACUUCCUAAAAACCAUGUGUAUAGAUGAGUGUAUCACAGCUCCAAACACAGUCUAAAAACAUAUGUAGAAUGAAAGCAACAAAAAAAUUGAUAUCAAGCUUAUUUCCGCAGGCUCAGCUAUCCAUUAUGUUCCUAACUCUAUGCUGCCCAAGCAGUAGAUUUGCUCUAACCUUUUCUCCAGAGCAGUCCAGGCCUGAAGCUUGCUCCUUUCUUUUUCAUCUGCUCCUGACAGAUGGGAGGGGAGUUAUCCAUUUUGUCUUCCAGUUGUUAACCUGGUAUAUGUAAUCCAAAACCAAGAGUAUUCAUUAUGAACUCCAGACUACUGAUCGCUUCCUCUCAAGGUAUAGUUUGAGAUUUGUCUACCACCACUCUCUUACACUGCCUUCACUGCCAUGGUUAAGACUGUUUAAUCACAGAAUCACCAAAUGGUUGAGUUUGGAAGGGACCUCUGCAGAUGACAUAGUCCAACCCCCUGCUCAAAGCAGAGUCAUCAACUGGAGCAGGUUGCUCAGGGCUGGGUCCAACUGGGUUUUGACUUUCUCCAAAGGUGGAGACUCCACAGCCUAAGUGACCUGUUCAAGUGCUUGACCAUCCUCACUGUAAAAAAGUUAUUUCUUAUGCUUAAAUAGAAUUCCUUAUAUUUCAAUUUGUGCUCAUUAUCUUCUAUCCGUUCACUGGAUACCACUGAGAAAAGUCUGGCUCUAUCUUCUUUCCUUCCUCCCACCAGGCAUUUAUACACUUGGAUAAAAUCCCCCCUAAGCCCUCUCUUCUCCAGGCUAAACAGUCCCAGCUCUCUCAGCCUUUCCUGGUAUGACAGAUACUUCAGUCCCUUAGUCAUCUUCAUGGCCCUUUGCUGGACUCACUCCAGUAGGUCCAUGUCUCUCUUGCACUGACUAGGGGAGCCUAGCACCGCACACAGCACUCCAGAUGCAGCAUCACCAGUGCUGAGCAGAGUGGGAGGAUCGCCUCCAUCGACCUGCCGCGGAUGCUCUUCCUAACGCAGCCCAGGCCAUCCCAUUCUAAAAGACUGCAGCUCUCUGAAAUCUGCGUUAGUGCAACUGAAGUCAGUGCAGAUGAGGCCCUAACUGUUUUAAAAAGCUCUCAUUCUCAUUUUGCUUAUGAAAAUUACAUAAUUUCUCUUCACACAAACACUGCAGAUCUCUCAUAUUCCAAAAGUGAAACUGUUCUUCCUUUGACAGUAUCCCAACUCCCAUUGAAUCCUUAGGAAUUCCAAUGAAAUUUUAGGACUAAAGCUGGUGAGCAACGGUAGUGCUAAUUUGUUAGAGUGCAGUUGUACAAAAGGCUCUAUUAACAAUAAUAAUACACUUUUACAGCAUGUUUUAUCCAACAAUCUCAGAGAUCAUUACAAACAUUAAUUGAGCCUAACUAUAGCCUGCAAUAAAUUAGCAUUAUUAUGCUAAUUUUAUGGAUGGAGAGAGAGAAAGACAGAGAGGUUAAGUGAUUCACUUAGGAACAGAACCCAGAACCACGUGCACGAAUGGGUAAUCCCAACCAAGAAGAAUUUUUGUCAGACAAAUGGAAGUGGAAUAUCAGACACAAACAUAAUAAAAGGCUUACAAAACCACAUUAUAAUUACUCUAAGGAAGUGCUCACCAGAAAAGAAAAUAGUGUUGCUGUGGACCAACAGCAGGUGAAUUUCUUUCUCUUGAAGGAUUUGAAAAAAAUUAGAAGGCAUAAUACCUGUGUGAAAUAUCUUCGGUAAGCCUCAACAUAGGGUUAAGGUUGAGAGGAAGAGAAAUCUCAGAACUGCAGUUGGAUUGGGACUGGAGAUGGGCUGCCAAGGGAGACCGAGAGCUGCAUAAGGAAUUCUCCACUGAGAAUUUUUCGUCUGGGGAAGUGCAGAGGUUCCUUGCCUAUGGCAAAGCCUAGGGUUACAUUAAGGGUAGAGAGAAAGAUUUGCAUUGUAAUUGUCGCCGUGUUGGUGUUAUACUGUGUUCUUAUGGAUAACAGCUUGGUGGUGUCUACCUUUUGUUAUCAUCCAUGCAGUAAAUAUCAACAAGUAGGAGUUGCUUCAAUUUUAUCACCUUCUGUUUUGGUAGUACCUUUUCCAGAAGUUUGCACCGCAGAACAAACAUCCAUCUAUUUUGUAAUUCUCACUGGACUUUCAUAGCACCAUUCACAAGCACCAGAAAUUUCUUACUGGUUUUGUGGGUUUGCUCAGGUGCUAGAGUUUCAAUCUGUGCUAAAGAUAGAAAGAUGCCAUUGUUAUUUUAUCUAAAAGUGGAGGAUAUUUUAAGUGACCAUUAGGCCAUUAGGUUUGGAUCAAUCAUCUGUUUCAUUCAUGUUAUUUAUGACUUCAAGGAAAAGGAUAGGAUGACUGCAUCCACUUUUCUUUAAAACAUCAAGCUGGAUAUAGACAAAAGGAUAAAACACAGUUAAAAUAAUAAAAAUUCCAGAUAACAUGUCCGUAGGGAACGGCGAUCGGAAGAUCUCGCGAUGGCACGGAAAGAGGAAGGAUAUGACGCAGAGAUAGCAGUAUGCUUGUAGGUAUAUAAGCGAAUGCAUAUGUCCAAUAAACGCCAUUUGUAGCAUCCUCA